UGGGGAUCCGUAUGCUUUGGGAACUC
rnacentral:piRNA from 1 species